GCCAUUGUGGUGCCUCCUGUGGUGGGAGAUGUUCCUGUGUGGCAUUGCAUGUGGCACUGACACCUUUGUUUGCCACAUUCUUGGGAUGCAUGUGCAUGGCCUCUCCACCCAGCCAUCAUAAAAACUGUCCCCAUUCAUGUCAUUCCCUGCCCCUUUGACCACAAUGGUAUCACUGCUGUCUGUCCAUCCACCUACAUCAUGGGAGGGUCAUCCGUCCUUUGUGUUCAACCAGAGUCUGAAAAUCAAAGUGUUCAAGAUAAUCAGCUAUUGUCCCUACACAAAUGGGCAUAUGGCCACCAUUGGGAAGCCAAUGUCUGGGUUCUGGAGGAGUGUGGUUGCAAAGCUUGAAAUGUGAAUAGCCAGCUCCAUGGGGUGUGGAGUCUGCAGCUCAAUUUGAAUGAGGUUGGCUUCCCCAGCCCUGGACCCAGAGGGAAUGGACUCACAGCUCUUUCUCCAUUCUGUGGAUGGAGGUGCAUGGCCUUAGCUGGCAGAGUGAUUCGUCUGGUUAAUAGUGAUAGACAAUGGCAGGUUGAACUGUUAUGUGACCCACUUUGGUCCCUCAACGUAGAAGUGAAGUGGUGUUCAGCCUUAUGAAAAACUUAUUGUCAGGGGCUGCACAUGCUCUACAGUAACUAGCUCAGCUUGUGCCCUUCCUCUCUAUGCCAGCAGGCACUGAUUACCCAAUGAACUGGUCUGUGCUGGGGCUGGGGAAUGGCAAUUAUUCCCCAACAAGGAGUUCCUGCUAAGUGGGGAUAUAAGGUUACAUUGAGUUCCUAACCUUGACACACAGCACACAUAAUUACUACCCACAAGAGGGUGUAGUGAGGCCCUAGGAUCAGCCCCAACGGAAGUGGCCCUGAGGCCUGACAUCUAAGUAUCCAGGUGUCCAUAGGUGCACUACCAUGGGUCAUUA
rnacentral:ncRNA from 1 species